AUGGGGGCGCACGGGGGCGGGGGGCUGAGGGCCUCAGGCCAGGCCAAGCGACCCGGAGCCCAGGGCACAAAUGAGGCCGGGUACAGCCGGGGGUCACCGGACCGCACCGGACGAAGGACGUGGGCACCGAGCCGGCCCGAAGCGAAGGGGGCACCGCGGGUCGGUUCCGGUUCCGGUUCCGGUUCCGGUUGGGGCCCGGCCGCCGCUCACCUGCGCGCGCCGCCGCCACCUCGGCCGUGCUUGGAGCGGGCGUCAGGUGACCGCGGCGCCGUCACGUGGCCCUGCGGCAGCCGCCAAUCAGCGCCGCCCCUGGCGCCCGGCGGCGCGCGGCCCGUUGCUAGGGGCGGUGUCUGCGUGGCAACGGGCGGGGCCUGGAGCGGCCUGAGCGGGCCUGGGGCCUGCGGCCUGCACGGCGUGAGCGGCGUGCGCGGCCCGUGGGGCGCGGCGAGAGCCUGGUGUGUCCCGGCCGGCCCCGUCCCGGUUCGGCAUCCCGAGCCCGGCGCCCAUACCGGGCCCCUCAGCCCGCAGCUCCCGGCGCGGGGCCGCUCGGGGCCGCCAGGUGGGGCUGCGGGGCCGGGCAGCGGCCCGUCUCGGCACCGAGCGGUGCCUGUGGGAAUCGUUCGGCCUGAUGCCGUGCUCGUUUGUAGCGUAGUUUGCCCGCGAGCCGUUCAUUUUUUAUUGCAAUUAAAUUCGGAAGGUAUUUAUGGUCGUUUUUAUUACGCUCAGUUGUACUGCGUACAGUAUCGGGAUGUAUCGGGAUGGAUGGAGGGGGGGGACGUCCGGGGAACGCAUAGGAUGUUUUGCGGUGGAUCUGUGGACGUGUUGGGUUUCAGCCUGGAGCAGGCAGGGCCCGGGCAGCGCCAUGGCACCGAGCAGCGUGCUGCCCGCCCCGCGCUGGGCACCGUGCCUGGGCCGGGCCGUGCCCCGGGGCGAGGCCCAUGGCUCCCAGCCACCCGGGCUGCUGGGCACGCAGGCGGAGCCGGGGGCUGCAGGCAUAACGUGAAACCCUGGAACUGCCCGCAGCCGCUGCUUUGCUUCUGCUGCAGCUCUGAGGUGCCCGCGUGUCCCGGUGGUGUGAGCAGAGCCUCGGUGUGCACGGGGACGUGGGCGGCUUGCAGCACUUCCAGGCCACAGCCACCGACAGACCAUGGCUGCUGCAGCCCUGGACCCGGCCAGGCACAGCUCUCCACGGUGCUCCCGUGGCUCUCCCUGCCCCGGGCAUUGCCGUGCUGCAUGCGAGAUGUCCAGGUGGAGAGGGAGGAUGCUGGAGGCAUGCGGAGCCUUUGGCUCUGCACUGAGGCCAUACCUGCAGUCUGUGUGCUCUUGCUUCUCUUAGCCCUCCAGCCUGCCGCCUCGUUUCUGUACACGCAGCUCCUCUUGCCCUGCAGCAGUGAGUGCCUGCUGCUGGCUCCAGCCUGCUCGUGUGGCCACGGGGUCUGUGGAGGCUACCCAGCCCCGGCUCAGGAGUCGGUGUACUGGGCUCCAGCUUGGGGAUGGGAGCUGCACUCAGAGGGGAGCCAGGUGCAGGGGCUGCACAGGAGCACGGUGCUGGCUCAAAGCAGCUGA
rnacentral:lncRNA from 1 species